rnacentral:rRNA from 1 species
UACGUAGGGACCGAGCGUUGUCCGGAAUCAUUGGGCGUAAAGAGCGUGUAGGCGGCUUGCUAAGUCUUGCGUGAAAUCUCGGGGCUCAACCCCGAGCGGUCGUGGGAAACUGGCAGGCUAGAGUGCGGGAGAGGAGAAUGGAAUUCCUGGUGUAGCGGUGAAAUGCGUAGAUAUCUGGAGGAAUACCGGUGGCGAAGGCGGCAUCCUGGACCGAAACUGACGCUUAAGCGCGAAAGCUAGGGGAGCAAACGGG